rnacentral:rRNA from 1 species
UACAGAGGGUGCAAGCGUUAAUCGGAAUUACUGGGCGUAAAGCGUGCGUAGACGGUUAUUUAAGUCAGAUGUGAAAGCCCCGGGCUCAACCUGGGAAUUGCAUUUGAAACUGCGUAGCUAGGGUGCGGAAGAGGGAAGCGGAAUUUCCGGUGUAGCGGUGAAAUGCGUAGAUAUCGGAAGGAACACCAGUGGCGAAAGCGGCUUCCUGGUCCAGCACCGACGUUCAGGCACGAAAGCGUGGGGAGCAAACAGG